rnacentral:rRNA from 1 species
CAUGCAAGUCGAGCGGAUGAAGGGAGCUUGCUCCUGGAUUCAGCGGCGGACGGGUGAGUAAUGCCUAGGAAUCUGCCUGGUAGUGGGGGAUAACGUCCGGAAACGGGCGCUAAUACCGCAUACGUCCUGAGGGAGAAAGUGGGGGAUCUUCGGACCUCACGCUAUCAGAUGAGCCUAGGUCGGAUUAGCUAGUUGGUGGGGUAAAGGCCUACCAAGGCGACGAUCCGUAACUGGUCUGAGAGGAUGAUCAGUCACACUGGAACUGAGACACGGUCCAGACUCCUACGGGAGGCAGCAGUGGGGAAUAUUGGACAAUGGGCGAAAGCCUGAUCCAGCCAUGCCGCGUGUGUGAAGAAGGUCUUCGGAUUGUAAAGCACUUUAAGUUGGGAGGAAGGGCAGUAAGUUAAUACCUUGCUGUUUUGACGUUACCAACAGAAUAAGCACCGGCUAACUUCGUGCCAGCAGCCGCGGUAAUACGAAGGGUGCAAGCGUUAAUCGGAAUUACUGGGCGUAAAGCGCGCGUAGGUGGUUCAGCAAGUUGGAUGUGAAAUCCCCGGGCUCAACCUGGGAACUGCAUCCAAAACUACUGAGCUAGAGUACGGUAGAGGGUGGUGGAAUUUCCUGUGUAGCGGUGAAAUGCGUAGAUAUAGGAAGGAACACCAGUGGCGAAGGCGACCACCUGGACUGAUACUGACACUGAGGUGCGAAA